UACAGUGAAAACAUCCCAGCAAGAAGGCGAGGCGUCAUGAAGAGGCUGGUGGGCGCUGUGCUGGGGCUUCUGUGUGCCCAGGUUUGCUGUGUGACAGGGCAGGAUGUGGAGCAGAGUCCUCCAGUCCUGAGUCUCCAGGAGGGAGCCACCUCUACGCUGUGGUGCAAGUUUUCCACCACUGUGUCCAAUGUGCAGUGGUAUUGUCAGAACUCCGGGGGCCGCCUCAUCCACCUGUUUUACGUUGCUUCAGGGACAAAGCACGAUGGAAGAUUCAGUGCCACAGCAGUCAUUCAAGAACGCCGCAGCUCCUUGAACAUUUCCUCUUCCCAGACCACAGACUCAGCCACUUACUUCUGUGCUGUGAGCACAGUGCUCCCCGGGCACCUGCAGCCUGAACACAAACCCUCAGUGGGCUCGGCCCCCUCCAGCCACAGUCUCACCGUGAGGCCGCCACCUGCAUCUGCAGGGCUUAUCAGUCCCCACCUACAUCAGUGUAGUUUCAAUCACAGACACGUUUUCACCCUACAGAUUUGGGACUUUGGUGUUUAUCUUCCUUCUCAAUCUGUAUCUCCUUCUGCACUGAAAACGUCUAACUUGGGACUAGCAGAGUAGCUGAUAAGAGGACAGAAUUCAGAAUUAAAACACAUAUUUACCACAGUAGGCUGGACUCCAAGAUGGUGAAAUGUGAAAGGGAUUAAAAGAAAAGUCACUCCAAUAAAGAUAUUAUCCAGCUUAGCCGGGUGUCUGAAGAACGUCCAGGUCCACCUCAGUGCGUCCCAACAGGCGAUUGUGAGUACAUCCUACCAGUGCUGCAAAGCCAACAGACCAAAUUCAAAGUUCAAUAUGAACUUGAUCACUUAGAACAAAUUUAUUUCUUGUGUUUCUACAUGCAAAAAGUCUGAAAUCAAUUUCACUGUCUGCAAUCAAGGUCUUGGCAGGCUUGGCUCCUUCUAGAGGCUCUGAAGGAGAUUCCAGUUCCUUGUCUCUUCCAGCUACUGGAGGCCACCUGGAUUCCUCGGCUCAUGAGCCUUUCUUGAAUCUCUCCAACCUCUUGCUUCCAC